rnacentral:misc_RNA from 1 species
UGUAGGAGUGAGCCUGCUCGCGAUAGCGGUGUGUCAGACAGCAAAUUUGUUGAAUGUUGAUUCGCUAUCGCGAGCAGGCUCACUCCUACA